rnacentral:lncRNA from 1 species
CACCAGAGGAUUCAAAUGAAGAUUUUAUUUAAAUUUCAAGAGAUUUGAGAUGUAGUAGAGAAGAAAUUUGAAGAGCCCAAAGAGAAAAAAGAAGCCGUUCUUGAUGCAGCUAAGAAGGUAGAUCUGAAAGAUAAGAGAAAGAGAGAUUAGAAGGCACUUGUUUUCAUCCAUCAGGCAGUUGAUGAAAAUAUGUUUGAGAAGAUUGUGGCAACAAAGACCUCCUAUGAGAAAUGGUUAAUCCUUGAAAAAAUAUAUCAUGGAGUAAUCAAGGUGAAGAAGGUCCGCUAGC